rnacentral:rRNA from 1 species
UUGGAGGGCAAGUCUGGUGCCAGCAGCCGCGGUAAUUCCAGCUCCAAUAGCGUAUAUUAAAGUUGUUGCAAUUAAAAAGCUCGUAGUUGAAUUUCGGGGUUCUACCGUUGGUCGGGCUUUGUCUGUACUGGUGUGUAGAAUUUCUACCUUCUGGGGAACCAUCAUGCUAUUAAUUUAGCGUGGUGGGAAACCAGGACCUUUACCUUGAAAAAAUUAGUGUGUUCAAAGCAGGCUUAUGUCUGAAUACAUUAGCGUGGAAUAAUAGAAUAGGACGGUGGUCCUGUUUUGUUGGUUUCUGAAUCACCGUAAUGAUUAAUAGGGAUAGUUGGGGGCAUUAGUAUUCAAUUGUCAGAGGUGAAAUUCUUGGAUUUAUUGAAGACUAACUUCUGCGAAAGCAUUUGCCAAGGAUGUUUUCAUUAAUCAAGAACGAAAGUUAGGGGAUCGAAGACGAUCAGAUACCGUCGUAGUCUUAACCAUAAACUAUGCCGACUAGGGAUCGGACGAUGCUAAUUUUUCUUGACUCGUUCGGCGCCUUACGGGAAAC